UUAGGUAAUGCAGCACAACGCUGGCUCUCGCUGAAUAGAAAGCGCUUUAUUAUUGUUAUGAUUGUUGCACUGCUGUCAUCGGCCUGGCUGAGGGGAAAAAAAAGCCUUGCAGAAACAGGAUCAGCUCCUUUAUGCUCCACAUGUAAACGCUGCUCUUCGAAGGGCAUUCUGUUUAGUGUAGAGUCUGUGUUCACGUUCUAAAAUUAUACACGCUUUUACGAGGAGUUUGGAAGCAGAGCGCCUUGAAUGAAUUAGUGAAUGUUUGCCCUGGAUUCUUCUGAUUAAUACAGCUAAGGGUUAAAUGUCUAUCACGAGGGUGCCGUGUACAGCACCAUGGCAGUGCUGGGACUUGAACUCACAACCUUCUUCUUACAGGUCCUUGUAUCCACGGAGCUUCCACUUCGUAUUAAGGAUGGAUAAAGAUGGCAGAUGCGGAAGAGGAAUUCCCGGCAGAACCGCGCAACGCCUUCUACACAUGAUUCUAAAGGAGUUACCAGUGAUCAUGUCCCCGUCUGCUCUCUGGACCUUCCUGAUCCUUCCUGAUGCUUUACCUGUGGAUGGAGUACUCUUCAGAUAGAGACAACUCUGUACUCUCGCUGAGGAAGUUGUCCACACGAACGGUCUAAAGAUUCUUCUUCUUUUUCUGGUGCUCCCAUUAGGGGUCUCCACAGCGGAUCCAGAUCCGUCUCCAUACCCCCCUGUCUUCUACAUCUGCCUCUUUCAAACCAACUACCUG